GUCAAAAGGAAAACUGAUCAAACAGAAGUUGAGAUUUACUAGGAUACAUGGUGAAAAAGGGUAGUCUUAACAGCAAUAUACAAAAGCUAAGUCAUCAAAAACGCCCCACUUCUUUUCACUACAAACAUGACAGCAAAAAUUGGGACCUUGAAAGGCUCACAAAACCCUAACAAGUGAAAACUCGAUGGUAAUUUUCCAAAACAAAAUGCUCAUAGUUCAUUUUGCGACCUUAAUAAAGCCAUUGUUGGACCCAGCGCACUGCCUCUCAAGGCCUUGUAGGACCACGGUCUCCUGCCUGAACUCUGGGUCUUGUUCCAGUUGUCCUCUUGUGAUAGCUGUUCCUUCUUUGCAUUUAAAGCCUGGUUAAUUUCUUCCCAUGGAUUUACUUCUCCAUUUUCUUGGGCAGAAGCAUGAGCUUCAUUGCCAUUGUAAGGCUUGUAGCCUGUUUCAGUAUCUUGAUCUCUGACACAGACUCCAGCAGUUGACUUCCCUGAAUUUAAGCUGCCUGGGGUGACAAUACGAACUUCCACGAGUGAUGAGAACUCUAUCCAUAAUGAACCAUCUCUUGCAUAAGAGGAUGUUUCUGAUAGUACAGCAGAUGCAUCGUCAUCCAUCUCAUUUGCAGGAAUUAUUGGAUAUUCUGGGACUGGCACCAGCUGAACCCUAUUGGACUCAAUGUCAUAUCGUGAUAUCUUCCCAACUCGGUAGGGUGAAAGUUCAGGGGUCCAGGAUGAUGAUAAUUCAAUCAAACGAUAAGCAAUCACAUCGCCUUCCUUAGGCAAGCUAGCAUAGAAUUCAAGCUUCUCAAAGUCGAUACGACUGAAUACAGGUCUUGCUCCAUAACUUCGAGUCCUGGAACACUCUUGAUUGACAUUUUUGUAGUCAUUCCUUUUGUAAGAUGUAACUUUUUCUUUACCCCAUUUUUGACCCUUCUUCUUGCUUCUUGUUCCAUUCCACUGAAAGGUCUCCUGAAGAACCAAUUUUGGCAUCAAUUUAAAGCUGAAAGCAAAUGGUAUUACAAGCUCAUAAAUUAAGUAUAAAAAAAAAUCCACAAAAAUCAGAAUUAAUUAACUAAUCUCUAGGUCAUUUUAUGUCCCUUAAUAAUUCAAUUUAUGGAAAUAUAUAGACUGGAAACACUAAUUUCACAGUGCAGUUCACAAACAUGCAAAAUAAGCACUUCUGUGCAACACUUAGCUCUCCUUUAGUCCCUCUUAGAAACCCCUCCAAAAGCAUGACAUAAUUGUUUGAGCAUGGAAAGGAACACAAGAUUACAGGUAUAUCAAGCACAAAUGGCUUAAAAAUGAAAAUAGUUGGAACUUUUUCUGAAAGAAUAGGGUCAUGAAUAUAAUAAGACUUUUCCAAUUAAAAAGCAAAAUUUUGAUAAGGCAACAUUUUGUUGCUUGAGUUAGGAAAGUUAAGUUUGCAAUACUAGGAAUACUCCCUAUUGCCUUCAACUGAUUCUUUCCCCCAAAAGUCUAUGUAAUAUCUGAGGUGAAUCUACAGGAAACUAAAUAUCAUCUUCCAUCCUCAAGUACUCAAUCAGAAAGAGAACAUGUUAAAAGAGAGAAGUGUAAUGUUUAAAGAAAAUACCAAAGGUAUUUGAUUUUGCUGUGCAGCCUGAUCAGCGUCCACUGGAACAAGAAAUGUGUCAAACUCAUCACAUAAAAUGGUAGAGACUUAAUAGAUAAUAGAGCAAUUUCCUUGCAUAAAAUAUUUUAUAUUUCUUGUAGUACUCAAUAGCUAAGAAUAAUAGAAACCCCCCAUCCACAUAACACACGCAUACAGCAUCAGACCUUUCCUUAGCGGCUCAAAGCGGAUAUGUCCUGGCCUUAUUACUAUGGGAACAACUUCAUCCUCUACAUCGCUAUCUUGAUCUAGCUGUUGAUGGUCUUCCUGGAGUUUUUCAUUAUCUGUUUCAGAUACUUCGUCAGAAACUUCUUGAUUCCCUUUUUCAGCUGAUUCUCGAGAGACUCCCCGGUUAUCCUUUUCAGAUGACCGUUGAUCACUUUUUUCGAGUGGUUGCCUCCGAAGUUGCUCCUUCCUUUCAGCUUUCAGUUUUUCCCUCAACCAUUGCCUCUUGGCCUUUUUCCGCCGAGCACUUCUACUUGGCAACUGAGAAAAUAGAGUAUAGCAUAAGUAAAAUCACCCUUAAAAUUCAAGAGAUGAAAAGGCCAGGUUUAUGAAUCUAGGGGCUAUGACCUAUUAGGUCUAGAUUAUGGGAAGCUAAAUUUGAAAGUUAUAGAAGUCAUAUGAAAUUGGGAACCCACUUACCAUGCUUGGUUUGGUUGCUAGCCAGGGAAGGCUAGUAGCCAUGGAAGAAUUGAAUUCACCGGUCAUACUCAUAAUGAAGCCAAGUUUUAAGGUACUUGGUAGCUUUAAUGAUUAGAAUCAACUUUUAAAAAAAGACUUUCUGAACCAUUACAACGUGAUAUGUAAAUCACUAACUAUCCAUACUCCACACCCUAGACAACCAAUAACAAGAAACCUGCUGAUCCUACAUGGUCGUCCACAUGCUUUUUAUUUUAUUUUUUUAAUUAAGAACAAAAGUACAAUCAACAGGUACUUUUGCAGAGUUAUAAGUAUCCAAACAAAAUUCUUGUCACACUAAGCAUGAUUUUAAAUAUCGUGGUUUUAGACUGAUUCAGACGAUUCCGUUGCACUGUUUCCAAUUCCAUUAUUUAAAACCAUAUCUACUACAAAUUUAAAAAAUUCACAGAAUUGACAGACAAUCAGUCCAAUUCAUCACAUUUCCAUUUCAAUGUUUCCAUUUCUAAUUCUGUUAUUUAGUAACACAAACAUGAUUCUGAUAGAGUGGCUAUAUAAAUUCGCCUGGUCUUUUGCAAUUUGUGUUGCUCUUUUGAUACAUGCAUAAUCUUGAGACUUCAAUAUGCACAUUACUUGGGUAUACAUAAAGGAUGUUGAUAAAUAGAAAUUAACCUCAAGUUUCACAUAUGACAGGAUCUUAUUGACAAUUCAGUCAUCAUUUCAGAUUAUGCAAAAUAGUUCAUUUUGAGUAGAUAUCAGAACAUUACAGAUCUAACAUUGCAUAAACAAAGUGUUUAGCUAGCAAAGAAUAACAUCGUCCAAUGGAUUAGAAACAAAAAAAUCUCCAACCAUUCAACUUAUCUAUAUCCGCUGUUAUGUGUGCCAGACA
rnacentral:misc_RNA from 1 species